CUGGCUCAGGAUGAACGCUAGCGACAGGCUUAACACAUGCAAGUCGAGGGGCAGCAUAGAAGUAGCAAUACGUUCGGUGGCGACCGGCGCACGGGUGAGUAACGCGUAUGCAACCUACCUAUCAGGAGGGGAAUAACCCGGCGAAAGUCGGACUAAUACCGCAUAAAACAGGGGCACCGCAUGGUGAUAUUUGUUAAAGAAAUUCGCUGAUAGAUGGGCAUGCGUUCCAUUAGGUAGUUGGUGAGGUAACGGCUCACCAAGCCGACGAUGGAUAGGGGAACUGAGAGGUUGGUCCCCCACACUGGUACUGAGACACGGACCAGACUCCUACGGGAGGCAGCAGUGAGGAAUAUUGGUCAAUGGGCGGGAGCCUGAACCAGCCAAGUCGCGUGAAGGGAAGAAGGAUCUAUGGUUCGUAAACUUCUUUUGCAGGGGAAUAAAGUGCAGGACGUGUCCUGUUUUGUAUGUACCCUGAGAAUAAGGAUCGGCUAACUCCGUGCCAGCAGCCGC
rnacentral:rRNA from 1 species